GGGCAACACUAAACUUCUCUAGUACUAGCACUUCUCUGCCACCAUGGCUCUGUCCAUCUUGUGACAAUAACUUUGGGCUUCCACAAUGAAAAGCUGGCAGCACUGGCUGGGCAGGAGUUGGUCCUUUCGUUGAAGUUUCCUGUCUGGCUGAAUUGUUGCCUAAUAUCUGCAACUAAGGGCCAAUGAAGCUAAUUUCUAGGGCCACCUGUCCUGGUUCCUGAGGAUGCUGAGGCUUCAAAGUGCAGUAGAAGACCACGACCUGAAGUUUUCAGCAGUUCAUGGCUGAAUAGAACACGGUUUAGCAUAGACCCAGCAUGGAUUUCUGAAACAUCACUCUGCUUGGUGUUAUCCCUGACAUCUUCAUCUCCCACUUGCAAAAUUGCAAGAGACAAUCUAGCAAGGUGGUUUCAAGCCAGGUCAUUGGAAGUAGACCUCCUGAGUCUGAAUCUUAACUGUGCCACUUAUGACUUUGGACAAGUUAUUUGAUUUCUUUGAACCACUGUUAGAAGAAAUGAAAGAGGCAGAGUCCAAGGCUCAGUGUGACUCCUGAAACUUCCCGCACGGGACAUUCUUCUGCGCCUGUAGGAAUAUGUAGAACUGCUCUUCAAACAUGGACCUGAACCAGCUGAUUUGAGUGGAAUUCUGUCAGACUCUUUCUAGCACCCCUGGCACAUUUCUAUGCACCAAGUCCUCUGAGAAGCACUGGGAAUCCAGAGAAGAUGACACUGUCACUACCUUUAAAGGCCACAUGAUCUUUUGUUUAAGAUAAGGGAAGCAAUGAGAGGUGAUCUGAGAGAAGUGGAAACUGGCCAUUGCAGGUGACUAUGAGAUCAUGUAGAAGAGUGGACCACUGAAUUCAUGGGAGGAUGCUGUUACUUUCUUGGUCUCAUUCCUAGUGCCAUGUACAAUCUUCUUAUCAUGGACUUGGGCAGCAAGAAGAUAGACUCCCUUUUGCAGCUCAAAUCAGGAAUCAGAGAGAUGAAAAGCAUAACACAGACUCUAGUGGCCUGAACAAGGCAGGAACAUUAUCAUCAUCUGCCCAAAUUCAACCAAGAGAACUGAAAGGAACUGAAUAAGAUAUAAUGAGGGUUCAUGAAGACAGUAUAUAGAAUUAGGAAGCCAGGAAGCUGGAAGAUAGA
rnacentral:lncRNA from 1 species